GAGGCGGAAUCGUCUACUUGACGACCGGACAGGAGCGGGGGACCCAGGUAGUUCGCCGGACGUGCUGCACCAGCGCGGACGGCUCGGGGUGAAGACGUGCGAACGUCCGGGCCAGCCUCUACGGCCCGAACCCGACAGCUCACCUCGCAGGCGUCGGAGGGGACUU
rnacentral:sRNA from 1 species